rnacentral:rRNA from 1 species
AUUGAACGCUGGCGGCAUGCUUUACACAUGCAAGUCGAACGGUAACAGGCCGCAAGGUGCUGACGAGUGGCGAACGGGUGAGUAAUGCAUCGGAACGUGCCCAGUCGUGGGGGAUAACUGCUCGAAAGAGCAGCUAAUACCGCAUACGAUCUAUGGAUGAAAGCGGGGGACCGUAAGGCCUCGCGCGAUUGGAGCGGCCGAUGUCAGAUUAGGUAGUUGGUGGGGUAAAGGCUCACCAAGCCAACGAUCUGUAGCUGGUCUGAGAGGACGACCAGCCAAACUGGGACUGAGACACGGCCCAGACUCCUACGGGAGGCAGCAGUGGGGAAUUUUGGACAAUGGGCGCAAGCCUGAUCCAGCAAUGCCGCGUGCAGGAAGAAGGCCUUCGGGUUGUAAACUGCUUUUGUACGGAACGAAACGGUCUGGGUUAAUACCCUGGGCUAAUGACGGUACCGUAAGAAUAAGCACCGGCUAACUACGUGCCAGCAGCCGCAGUAACAC